rnacentral:rRNA from 1 species
AUGGCCGCUCCGCCGCGCAAGCGGGCGCUCGCCUUCCGCACGGCGGCGCUCGCGCUCCUCGCCAUCCUCGCCGUCGCGCGAGGACAGCAGCAGUACGAGGCCAACGCGCAGACCAACUGCUACGGCAGAAACGGCAGCUCCGUGCUCGGCUACACCUGCAACGCCACCGCCGCGGCCGCCCCCUGCGCCACCUACGUCGUCUUCCGCUCCUCCCCGCCGUACUACGGCACCGCCGUCUCCAUCUCCUACCUCCUCGGCUCCGAUCCGGCCGCCGUCGCGGAAGCGAACGGCGUUCCCACCGUCUCCCCGCUCGCCGACUCCCGCCUCGUUCUCGCGCCUGUCCCCUGCGGCUGCUCUCCGCGCGGCUACUACCAGCACAACUCCAGCCACACCAUCCAGUUCCGCGGCGAGACCUACUUUAUCAUCGCCAACAACACCUACCAGGGCCUCACCACCUGCCAGGCGCUCCUCGCGCAGAACCCCAGGCACGGCAGCCGCGACCUCGUCUCCGGGAACAACCUCACCGUGCCGAUCCGCUGCGCGUGCCCCUCGCCGGCACAGGCCGCCGCUGGGGUUAGGCACCUGCUCACCUACCUCGUCACGUGGGGCGACAGCGUCUCGGCCAUCGCCGACCGCUUCCGUGUCGACACCCAGGCUGUGCUCCAGGCCAACAACCUCACCGCUAGCGAGAUCAUAUUUCCCUUCACCACUCUGCUAAUCCCGCUCAAGAGCGCGCCCACGCCGGACAUGCUCGUGUCGCGGGCGCCGCCGCCCGCACCGGCGCCACCGCAGGCCCAGCAGCCGCCGGCGUCUGGCAGCCGGAAGUGGAUUGCCGUCGGGGUCGGUGUUGGUGUCGGUGUUCUUGCGCUAGCGGGCCUUCUUGGCCUGAUGUUGUUAUGUGUUCGCUGGCGGCGGCCCCGGCCAGGCGUUGGGGAAAGGGGCCGCGGGGGCAAGGUGGUUCUUGACGUGCCCUCGUCGGCGGAUUACGACGCUCUUGCCUCCGGCAAGCAUACAUCGGCAGCUACGAUAACCUCCUUAUCUUCAUCGGCGUUGGUGUCCAGCGACGCGCGCGCGGCGGUGGAGUCCCUGACCGUGUACAAGUACUCCGAACUCGAGAAGGCAACGGCAGGAUUCUCGGAGGAUCGGAGGGUCAAGAACGCGUCCGUGUACCGCGCGGAGAUCAACGGCGACGCGGCGGCCGUGAAGCGUGUGGCCGGCGAUGUGAGUGGCGAGGUGGGCAUCCUGAAGCGCGUGAACCACUCCAGCCUCGUCCGCCUCUCCGGUCUCUGCGUCCACCACGGCGACACCUACCUCGUCUUCGAGUUCGCCGAGAACGGCGCGCUCAGCGACUGGCUCCACGGCGGCGGCGCCACCCUCGUGUGGAAGCAGCGCGUCCAGGCGGCCUUCGACGUUGCCGACGGCCUCAACUACCUCCAUCACUACACCAACCCGCCGUGCGUGCACAAGAACCUCAAGAGCAGCAACGUCCUCCUCGACGACGACCUCCGCGCCAAGGUGUCAAGCUUCGCGCUAGCCCGGUCGGUCCCCACGGGCGCCGACGGUGGCGACGCGCAGCUCACCCGCCACGUCGUGGGUACCCAGGGGUACCUGGCCCCGGAGUACCUGGAGCACGGCCUCAUCACGCCCAAGCUCGACGUUUUCGCCUUCGGCGUCAUCCUCCUCGAGCUGCUGUCCGGGAAGGAGGCGACAUUCGACGGUGGCGACAAAAGAGGGGAGACGCUGCUGUGGGAGUCCGCGGAGGGGCUGGUCAUCGACGGCGAGGACGCGCGCGGCAAGGUGCGGGCAUUCAUGGACCGGCGGCUGAACGGCGACUACCCGCUGGACCUCGCCGUCACCGUGGCGUCGCUGGCGGUGCGGUGCGUGGCGAGGGAGCCCAGAGGGCGGCCGUCCAUGGAGGAGGUGUUCGUGACGCUGUCGGCGGUGUACAACUCCACGCUGGAUUGGGAUCCCUCGGAUUGCGGCAACUCUCGCUCUUCGAUCGUGGGGAGAUAG